GAUGAACGCUGGCGGCAGGCUUAAUACAUGCAAGUUGAACGGUAACAUGCUCGGUAGCAAUACUGGGUGAUGACGAGUGGCGUACGGGUGCGUAACACGUGUGCAACCUACCUUAUACAGGAACAAAACGUCGAGAAAUUGGCGCUAAUAUUCCAUAAUAUUAUUUUGGGGCAUCUCAGGAUAAUUAAAGCUACGGCGGUAUAAGAUGGGCACGCGUCCCAUUAGCUAGUUGGUAAGGUAACGGCUUACCAAGGCGACGAUGGGUAGGGGUUCUGAGAGGAUACACCCCCACACUGGAACUGAGACACGGUCCAGACUCCUACGGGAGGCAGCAGUAAGGAAUAUUGGUCAAUGGAGGGAACUCUGAACCAGCCAUGCCGCGUGCAGGAAGACGGCCUUAUGGGUUGUAAACUGCUUUUAUUAGAGGAUAAAUAUAGGUACGUGUACUUAUUUGCAGGUAUCUAAUGAAUAAGGAUCGGCUAACUCCGUGCCAGCAGCCGCGGUAAUACGGAGGAUCCAAGCGUUAUCCGAAUUUAUUGGGUUUAAAGGGUGCGCAGGCGGACUGAUAAGUCAGCGGUGAAAUUUACAUGCUUAACAUGUAUCGUGCCGUUGAUACUGUCGGACUAGUAUUCAAAUGACGUAGCUGGAAUGUGUUAUGUAGCGGUGAAAUGCAUAGAUAUAACACAGAACACCGAUCGUGAAGACAGGUUACGGUAGUGAUACUGACGCUCAUGCACGAAAGCGUGGGGAUCAAACAGGAUUAGAUACCCUGGUAGUCCACGCAGUAAACGAUGAUAACUGGCUUUUUGUCCGUUGGGAUGAGAGGCUGAGAGAAAUCAAUAAGUUAUCCACCUGGGGAGUACGACGGCAACGUUGAAACUCAAAGGAAUUGACGGGGGCCCGCACAAGCGGAGGAGCAUGUGGUUUAAUUCGAUGAUACGCGAGGAACCUUACCCGGGCUUAAAUGGGAGAUGACCGAAUAGGAAACUAUUCUUUCGUAAGACAUCUUUCAAGGUGCUGCAUGGUUGUCGUCAGCUCGUGCCGUGAGGUGUCGGGUUAAGUCCCAUAACGAGCGCAACCCACAUAUUUAGUUACCAGCACGUGAAGGUGGGGACUCUAAAUAGACUGCCUACGCAAGUAGAGAGGAAGGUGUGGAUGACGUCAAAUCAGCACGGCCCUUACGUCCGGGGCUACACACGUGCUACAAUGGUCGAGACAGAGGGCAGCUAGCUGGUGACAGUAAGCGAAUCUCAGAAACUCGGUCACAGUCCGGAUCGGAGUCUGCAACUCGACUCCGUGAAGUUGGAUUCGCUAGUAAUCGCGCAUCAGCCAUGGCGCGGUGAAUACGUUCCCGGGCCUUGUACACACCGCCCGUCAAGCCAUGGAAGCUGGGGGUACCUGAAGUACGUUACCGCAAGGAUCGUCCUAGGGUAAAACUAGUGACUGGGGCU
rnacentral:rRNA from 1 species